AUUUUUCGUGCCGCCGGUCGUUCGGCGGCACGAAAAAUGUCGGCUCCCCCGGGGUCAGGCUCGACCAUUGCACUCGGGUCUGGCCGACCCCUGCCACUACCCCAAAAUGGAGUAGAUGGGGCGUGUAAUUUGUUGUAGCCGGGGAUUGCGCUGGCGCUCUCCCCUU